UGGCGGCAUGCUUUACACAUGCAAGUCGAACGGCAGCACGGGGGCAACCCUGGUGGCGAGUGGCGAACGGGUGAGUAAUAUAUCGGAACAUAUCCGGAAGUGGAGGAUAACGUACCGAAAGGUACGCUAAUACCGCAUAUGCCCUGAGGGGGAAAGGAGGGGAUCGCAAGACCUUUCGCUUUCGGAGUGGCUGAUAUCGGAUUAGCUAGUUGGUGAGGUAAAGGCUCACCAAGGCGACGAUCCGUAGCUGGUCUGAGAGGAUGAUCAGCCACACUGGGACUGAGACACGGCCCAGACUCCUACGGGAGGCAGCAGUGGGGAAUAUUGGACAAUGGGCGCAAGCCUGAUCCAGCCAUGCCGCGUGUGUGAUGAAGGUCUUAGGAUUGUAAAGCACUUUCACCGGAGAAGAUAAUGACGGUAUCCGGAGAAGAAGCCCCGGCUAACUUCGUGCCAGCAGCCGCGGUAAUACGAAGGGGGCUAGCGUUGUUCGGAUUUACUGGGCGUAAAGCGCACGUAGGCGGACUAUUAAGUCAGGGGUGAAAUCCCGGGGCUCAACCCCGGAACUGCCUUUGAUACUGGUAGUCUUGAGUUCGAGAGAGGUGAGUGGAAUUCCGAGUGUAGAGGUGAAAUUCGUAGAUAUUCGGAGGAACACCAGUGGCGAAGGCGGCUCACUGGCUCGAUACUGACGCUGAGGUGCGAAAGCGUGGGGA
rnacentral:rRNA from 1 species